GCAGCUUAUGACUUAAAAUCGAAGGGGCAUAUCAAAAGGGCACUGUGGUUUGCUGAUAUUACAAAGAAAAUGCUCCUCCCAGACCCCCAUGCAGAAAGAUGGAAAACACUCACUGACUCAGUCGCGCAUCGAUUCCCUGACCUGGCUCCCGCACUCGACCUGCGCUCCCGCACAGAAAGUCUAGGGUUCGUCUUUGCCGCCGCCACCACCGCCGCCGGUCCCUGGCUCCUCGUCGCGGCUAGCUCCGGCAACAUGGACGGCGGGUAGGAGCCCAUCUUCCCCUGCUUCUCCAUCCUCUGCCGUGAUUCCUAGGGCGCGGCUGCUCCCUCGCAGCUCCUGGUCGGUCCGGCCAGGGCAACACUCUGCCGAAUGGCGCCCCACUCCGGCCGAUGACCAAAUCUGGUGAAGGACCCCCCGUUCAUGCCCCCUCCCCUCCUCCUAGUAUUUGGCAUGAGCUCCUCUACCAAGAUGAAAGCACAGUGGGUUAAUGUUGGUCUUAGAACUUUCAUUGACAUUUGUGUGGAAGAAGUGAAUGCCAAUAACCGUGGCAAAGAAGGAACAUUGACGAACCUUGGGUAUGACAACUUGAUAAGUAAGUUUUUCGAACGCACGAGGAUAGAAUAUACCAAAAAGCAAUUCAAGAAUAAGUGGGAUGUGAUAAAAAAGAGUAUGUUGUCUGGAAGACAUUAACCCAAAAGGCAUCUGGCAUUGGGUUUGAUCUUGUUACCAAGACCAUUGCGGCAAGUGAUGAAUGAGAAAUGAACUUGCCCCCAAGUUUCAAUACACUCCACUAGAGGAUGAGAUCGAACUGAGUGCUAUAUUUGAUGAUGUUAGUGUGACAAAUGAGUAUGCGAGGGCGCCACAACCCACGUCCUAGGUUGGUGGCUCUCAAAUUCGCAUUGAUGAUGACGAUGUGGCAGGCUCAGACUGUGAAUUAAAUGCUACUCAUGUGACACCUAACAAAGCUAAAGGUUGAAAGAAGAGAUCAUGUCCUUAUUCACAUAGUCCUACAAUUGUGCUAUAGAUAGUACCCAACAAUGUAUUCAGUGUCAUGAGAACUUUAUUAUUUAGUACACCAUCUGUAAACAAAUAUAAGACCGUUUAAAUCAGUAGAGUAGUGGUCUAAAUGAUCUUAUAUUUGUUAGCAGAAGGAGACUAGAUGAUGUGCUAAUGUGUUUGUGUAAUAGAAAAACAUAAAAUCAAACCCUAUCUAUCAAAGUGCGGUGAAUGAAUUUGUA